rnacentral:rRNA from 1 species
CGAGCGGCGAACGGGUGAGUAACACGUGGAUUAUCUGCCCUGAGGUGGGGGAGUAACCCGGGGAAACUCGGGCUAAUACCGCAUGAUACCGAGAGGUCAAAGGGGGCGUCGCAAGGGCUCUCGCCAUAGGAGGAGUCCGCGUCCGAUUAGCUAGUUGGUAGGGUAAUGGCCUACCAAGGCGACGAUCGGUAGCCGGCCUGAGAGGGUGAUCGGCCACACUGGAACUGAGACACGGUCCAG